rnacentral:lncRNA from 1 species
AGGUGUUGGGUUGUGUUCGGAGUCAGAUAGGCAUUGGGAGACAAAUAGGGGUGUUGUGGUGUGCUGGGAGACAUAGAGAGUUGUUGUGGUGUGUUUUGAGACAGGGAGUGUUGUUGUGGUGUGUUGUGAGACAUAGAGAGGAGUUUCGGUGUUGGGAGACAUAGAGAGUUGUUGUGGUGUGUUGGGAGACAGAGAGGGGUGUUGUGAGAAAUAGAGAGGUGUUGUGGUGUGUUGGGAGAAAGAGAGAGGUGUUGUGGUGUGUUGGGAGACAGAGAGAGAUUUUGUGUUGGGAGAAAGAGAGAGGUGUUGUGGUGUGUUGGGAGACAGGGAGAUGUGAUGGGUUGUGAUCGGAGACAGAUAGGCUUUGGGAGACAGAGAUAGGUGUUGUGGUGUGUUGGAGGACAUAUAGAGGGUUUGUGGUGUGUUUUGAGACGG